rnacentral:lncRNA from 10 species
UCUUACCAAUGUUUCCUGGGCUAUAAGUUGCUAGGAUUUGACUUUCUCUUGCAGAGGUGACACACAGCGAGUAGUCACUUGUCAAGAGAAAUGAAGUAACUUGCCCUGGUUACAAUGGCUGAAAAGGGACUGAUCCAGGAUUUGAACUUGGUUCUGCUGUUGAAGAGCAUGAUCAAGCAGUAUUGGUGACGUUUUCUCUGACUCUUCAUUAUUUUUAUUUUUAAUUUCUUUUAUUUAUUUAUUUUGUAUUUUUAGUAGAGACGGGGUUUCACCAUGUUGACCGGGCUGGUCUUGAACUCCUGACCUCAGGUGACCUGCCCGCCUCGGCCUCCCAAAGUGCUGGGAUUACAGGCUUGAGCCACCGAGGGAGGUGACUCUUCAUUAUAAUGGCUUUUGUGUGUUCCAAAAACAGGUUUUUGUUUUUUGUUUUUUUAAGCUUACUAUAUAGAAACAGUUUUAUUACAGAAUUUAAGCACACAGACUCUGAAGUCACACUCCCCAGGUUUGAGUCUUGGAUCUGUGGCUUGCCAGCUGUGUGACCUCAUGUCUCCUCUCUUUAUCUUUGAAAUGGGAAUGAUAAUAGCACCAGCCUCAUAGGACUGUUGUGAAGAUGAAAUGAGUCAACCAAUGUAAAGGGUUUUGCACAGUGCCUGUUAUGUAACUCUUGUCCAGCAGACACAUCCAGUCCUGUGUUGUGUCUAUGUUCUGUGUCCCUUCCUAGAUUCUGUCCUCUGGGAGGGGAGAGAUCCCCUUCAUUCAUUUUCCAAUCCUCCUGUACCUGGCACAACAGACCUUUCGCCAGAUUGGGUGCUCCACAAACAUUUGUCAAAUUGAAUUUGUAAAUCUGCAGGUGUUUGUGCUGGACAAUGAGACACUUACAAGUUCCCGGUCUAUGCUAUGCUUUAAUUACCUACGAAUCUUGUGAAGAAAAUGGUUCUUGAAUCAGGCUGGUCAUCUAAAAGCUUUUGCCCUGUUUUUAAAAAAUCCACGUCAAUUCUUUGUCAUUUCUUGGUGCUAGAAACAUUUCAAAUCUCUUUGAGCUAAAUGAGGUGAUGGCUAUCCAGAAUGUCCUGGUUUGAUCAUAAUAUAUUGUAUGCAUGUAUCAAAAUAUCAAAUGUAUCCCAUAAAUAUGUACAAUUAUCAUGUAUCAAAUACAAAAAUUAAAAAAAAA